CACCUCUCGCAACCACUGCCCAUAUGCCAUUUUCUCCUUGCCUUCCAUCUUUGCUUCUGUGAAAGGUAUAUCCUUGCAAUAUGAUGCAUAAUGACCGAUUUUGCCACAUGAAUAGCAAAAAUGGGGCAAUCUUUCGUAUCGAAAAUCCAGCCAUAUAACUUUGCCUGCUAUACGUAUGAGUUGACCCACUUUCAGUGGUUCUUUUAAGUUGAAUUCUACACGUACCCUGCCUGCUCUGAUUGUUGAUUUGUCUUUAAGAUCAAGUUUUACAUCCCUCACCUUUCCCACAUUUUCCUGAGCAUAUCUUCAGUACACCAUUCCAGAGGCAAGCCAUAUACUUGUACCCACAAAGGGCAAGUAUUAAACUCAUAGCAGUGCAGUGGUGUAUUUGGUUUCCAAGGCUGAAAUAUGAUUAAAUGACUAGAAAACCGCCAAGGGCGGUUCGUCUUGCCAAUCUUCGAUUUCCUGAUCCGUCCAAAGACGCCCCAUCCUCUGGCAGAGAGCAACAAGUCGGAAAUUGUCAACAUCUUCUUGGGUAUCCAUUAACAGCACAUUCAAAGUAAUCGGCUCAAGCGAGAAAAGCUGAUCAGAGACUAUAUGGCCAUGUAACACUUAAAGGGAUUGAAAUGUCAUCAAUGUCUGUGGUUAGGGUUUGGACAUUUAGAGCCGAUGCAUGUCAAGAUAAAGUUUUUAUAGAAGAAAGAUAGGGUUUGGUUUGCUGGGUAAGCGGAGAA